rnacentral:pre_miRNA from 1 species
UUUACAAGCCACAGGGGAGGGAAGUGGGCAGUGAUGACAGUGAUCACUGCCCACUUCCCUCCCCUGUGGCUUGCAGAUG